UACGUAGGUGGCAAGCGUUGUCCGGAUUUACUGGGCGUAAAGAGCGCGCAGGCGGUCGUUCAAGUCGCGUGUGAAAGCCCCCGGCUCAACUGGGGAGGGUCACGCGAUACUGAUCGACUCGAAAGGCAGGAGAGGGAAGUGGAAUUCCCGGUGUAGUGGUGAAAUGCGUAGAUAUCGGGGAGGAACACCAGUGGCGAAGGCGACUUCCUGGCCUGUUCUUGACGCUGAGGCGCGAAAGCUAGGGGAGCAAACGGG
rnacentral:rRNA from 1 species